rnacentral:rRNA from 1 species
GAUGAACGCUGGCGGCGUGCCUAAUACAUGCAAGUCGAGCGAACAGACGAGGAGCUUUCUCCUCUGACGUUAGCGUCGGACGGGUGAGUAACACGUGUAUAACCUACCUUUAUGACUGGGAUAACUUCGUGAAACCGGUGCUUAUACCGGAUAAUAUUUUCAACCGCAUGGUUCAAUAGUUUAAGACGUUUUUGCUUUCACUUUUCGAUGGUUCCGGGGCGGAUUAGCUAGUUGGUAAGGUAACGGCUUACCAAGGCAACGAUGCGUAGCCGACCUGAGAGGGUGAUCGGCCACACUGGAACUGAGACACGGUCCAGACUCCUACGGGAGGCAGCAGUAGGGAAUAUUGCGCAAUGGGCGAAAGCCUGACGGAGCAAUGCCGCGUGAGUGAAGAAGGUCUUCGGAUCGUAAAACUCUGUUAUUAGGGAAGAAAAAAGGAGAAAGUAAAUAUGCACGUAUUGACGGUACCUAAAGAGAAAGCAACGGCUAACUACGUG